rnacentral:tRNA from 1 species
UCCCUGGUGGCUCAGUUGGUAAGGCAUCUGCCUGCCAUGCAGGAGGCCUGGGUUCGAUCCCCAGGUCGGGAA